GGUAAUUCCAGCUCCAAUAGCGUAUAUUAAAAUUAUUGCAGUUAAAAAGCUCGUAGUUGAAUUUCUGCUGCAUUGCUUGUGUCCCUCCGGGGUCUGUGCAUGUGGCUUUUUUCGGACGGAGUUUCUUUGUCUGAAUGUUUACUUUGAGAAAAUUAGAGUGCUCAAAGCAGGCUUUUGCCUUGAAUAGUUUAGCAUGGAAUAAUAAAGUAGGACUUUGGUUCUAUUUUGUUGGUUUUAGGUACCAAAGUAAUGGUUAAUAGGAACAGUUGGGGGCAUUCGUAUUUAACUGUCAGAGGUGAAAUUCUUAGAUUUGUUAAAGACGAACUACUGCGAAAGCAUUUGCCAAGGAUGUUUUCAUUAAUCAAGAACGAAAGUUAGGGGAUCGAAGACGAUCAGAUACCGUCGUAGUCCUAACCAUAAACAAUGCCGACUAGAGAUUGGAGGUCGUCAGUUUUUACGACUCCUUCAGCACCUUGAGAGAAA
rnacentral:rRNA from 1 species